AUUGAACGCUGGCGGCAGGCCUAACACAUGCAAGUCGAGCGGCAGCGGAAAGUAGCUUGCUACUUUGCCGGCGAGCGGCGGACGGGUGAGUAAUGUCUGGGAAACUGCCUGAUGGAGGGGGAUAACUACUGGAAACGGUAGCUAAUACCGCAUAAUGUCGCAAGACCAAAGAGGGGGACCUUCGGGCCUCUUGCCAUCAGAUGUGCCCAGAUGGGAUUAGCUAGUAGGUGGGGUAACGGCUCACCUAGGCGACGAUCCCCAGCUUGUCUGAGAGGAUGACCAGCCACACUGGACCUGAGACACGGUCCAGACUCCUACGGGAGGCAGCAGUGGGGAAUAUUGCACAAUGGGCGCAAGCCUGAUGCAGCCAUGCCGCGUGUAUGAAGAAGGCCUUCGGGUUGUAAAGUACUUUCAGCGGGGAGGAAGGUGCUGAGGUUAAUAACCUCAGCAAUUGACGUUACCCGCGGAAGAAGCACCGGCUAACUCCGUGCCAGCCGCCGCUGUAA
rnacentral:rRNA from 1 species